UGGCUUGUGGUUUUGGUAGAGAACGAAACCCUAAUCUGACCUUUCGUUUUCUUUCGAGGUAACCAUGGUUC
rnacentral:pre_miRNA from 1 species